rnacentral:rRNA from 1 species
AUUGAACGCUGGCGGCAUGCUUUACACAUGCAAGUCGAACGGCAGCGCGGGCUUCGGCCUGGCGGCGAGUGGCGAACGGGUGAGUAAUGCAUCGGAACGUGCCCAGUAGUGGGGGAUAGCCCGGCGAAAGCCGGAUUAAUACCGCAUACGACCUGAGGGUGAAAGCGGGGGACCGAAAGGCCUCGCGCUAUUGGAGCGGCCGAUGUCGGAUUAGCUAGUUGGUGGGGUAAAGGCUUACCAAGGCGACGAUCCGUAGCUGGUCUGAGAGGACGACCAGCCACACUGGGACUGAGACACGGCCCAGACUCCUACGGGAGGCAGCAGUGGGGAAUUUUGGACAAUGGGGGCAACCCUGAUCCAGCCAUGCCGCGUGCGGGAAGAAGCCCUUCGGGUUGUAAACCGCUUUUGUUCGGGAAGAAAUCCUCUGGGCUAAUACCCCGGGGGGAUGACGGUACCGGAAGAAUAAGCACCGGCUAACUACGUG